rnacentral:sRNA from 1 species
AGUUUAUAUGAAAGCAUGGACAGGGAUUACUAGUAUCAAUGAUAGUCUUUGAUGUGUAUUACAUGUUUAGACCUAUAAUUUUUAUUUCUUGACACAUUAAUAACUUUACAUGAUAUGUGUCUCAUUCAAAAUAACAACAUUUUGUGCCCUUGUUUGGUGAUCUAUCUGCUCUGCCUCUCACCUAUUCAUUGGUAGAAAUAAGAUAAUAAGUUAACCACAGCAUUGUUUGUCAAAACCCAUGGUUUGAAUCAUGAAAAAGAAUUUUAAGAACCACUGUGAUAGACCAUCAUGUCAUCAUUUCUUUAAAUCCUGGAUACUAUAAUUGACAUAAAGUCAAGAGGCUGUGUCAUUGGACCUACCUUCCAUUUUAAUGUUCCAGCUCUGCACUUUGGUGAUGUUUCCUUUGGGUUUCCUCAUACCUUGAUAUGUUCCCUCAAUAAUACCUCUUUGAUCCCCAUGACUUACAAACUGCGUAUCCCUGGGGAUGGCCUUGGCCAUAAAAGCAUUUCAUAUUGUGAGCAGCAUGUGGACUACAAAAGACCGUCUUGGACCAAGGA